CUUUUGGGAUUUGGAGUUCCGCAGGGUGGAAGCUAAAGGAGGUGCAUCUUAACUACUUCCUUCACACACACAACCCAUUUGGAGCUGGGUCGGGAGAAACUUGUAACAGUCUGUGGCCCGACCACUUGGACGCAUCAUAUCUCAGAAGCUAAACAAAGUCCGGCCUGGUUAGCAUUUGGUUGGAUUAGAGAUUAGUCACCGUGAGGAAGCCAAAUCGGAUCCGAGAGUCUUUUUCUAAAGGCCAGUACUGGCCACAUUUCCUCCUGCCGCCUUCCUCAAAGCUGAAGACAUACAGAGCAAGUUAAGCCUUCGCUCUUCAACCAGCUGUAAGCUGCUUCCCACCACAACUGCUGAGCUCCUAGGCAGCGAUGUGCUCUGCACUGCUUCUGAAGAACAGCACUGACUUCAUUCUAAACAGGUGCUAAAACAGCUAGCAUUCUUACAUGUAUACAGUUAGCAGGCAUGCACUGUACACUCACUGUACCUUCUGUCUCCUUCCUGAGACCUGGUUGUAUUUCCUACAUACAGUAGCAAAACCACACUGAGGCCUAGACCUUGGCCACUGCUCAGUUUCUUUCCCACGAAGGGCCCUUGGCUGACACAGGACGGGGAAGACAAUUCUCCCAACUACAGGUGGCUGUUGACAACGCCCUGAGGAAGGGAACUGAGCAAGCAUCGCUUUUCUUCCCUAUCUGUAAAAAGUAGAGAUAUUAAUGAACAGAAGAACCAUAAAAAAAGAAGGAAAUGGAGAGCAAAGGGAACUGGUAAUGCAGUGGCCAGGAAGGCACCUUUCCUCUGUAGACAAGAGGCAGCUUCAAGGUGUGGCAUUUCCCAGCACGUCCUUUAGUGAAUAAGGCCAGAACCCCAGGGUAGGUAGGCUACAGCGCACUAGCCCUGGGUCCCUACAGUUACGGAUUAAAUAUCUUUCUGCAAGACUAGCACUAUCUCCACCAUGGCCUACCAUUUUAAAUAUAGAUGUAGCAUAGCUCUCUUAAUCAUUCAAGCUUAUAGAGUCAUGGAAUCUAUGGUUAAAAGAAGACUAACUCACCGGGUGGUCAUGACAAUCACCAAAACUUUUUGCUCCCAAACCAUAAGCCAGAAGUCACGAUAGGUGUUCUCCAAAGGACCUGGAAUGAAGGGAGAGGAGGGAGAGCAGGCCUUUAGAAGCACGUCUGUCUUUCUCAACUUGUCUUCCAAAUCAUAUCUCUGAA
ensembl:processed_transcript predicted gene 10658